CCUACGGGUGGCAGCAGUGGGGAAUAUUGGGCAAUGGGCGCAAGCCUGACCCAGCAACGCCGCGUGAAGGAAGAAGGCCCUCGGGUUGUAAACUUCUUUUAUCAAGGACGAAACAAAUGACGGUACCUUAGGAAUAAGCCUCGGCUAACUACGUGCCAGCAGCCGCGGUAAUACGUAGGAGGCAAGCGUUAUCCGGAAUGACUGGGCGUAAAGGGUGCGUAGGUGGUUUGACAAGUUGGUAGCGUAACUCCGGGGCUCAACCUCGGCACUACUACCAAAACUGUCGGACUUGAGUGCAGGAGGGGCAAAUGGAAUUCCUAGUGUAGCGGUGGAAUGCGUAGAUAUUAGGAGGAACACCAGUGGCGAAGGCGAUUUGCUGGACUGUAACUGACACUGAGGCACGAAAGCGUGGGGAGCAAACAGGAUUAGAUACCCUUGUAGUC
rnacentral:rRNA from 1 species